rnacentral:tRNA from 1 species
GGGCCCGUAGCUCAGUGGUAGAGCAGUUGACUCUUAAUCAAUUGGUCGAAGGUUCGAAUCCUUCCGGGCCCACCA